GGUCUUAAAAUUCUAAUGGGCUGAUAUUACAUUUUUAUGGGCCGAUCGGUUUGAUGCUAGUUACAUGUUUUUGUAAAACGAUUGGGUAAACAACAAAAGCUUUACAAAAAAAAAUUAAGUUGAUCUAACCGAUCGGAAAAAAAUAUCUCCUUUCAUAUCCUUUUUUUAAUCGAAAACUGUUCUUCUCUUAUAUCCUGAAAUCGGAAAGGGUUAAGUUAAAUCGAGACAAUCCUUUCUUUUUGGUGAUCAUAACUCUUCUUUGUCAUUCUAACCCAGAUUAUUCUACAAUUAUUAGAAAUAAUCGCCAAUAUUCUUUUUCCUUUCUCCAAAUAGUUCCCUUUUUACAUCGACAAUCUCUUCUUUCCGACAAACUAUGAAGUAAUUAGCCUUCCGACAGCGAUCUAUGGGUUAAUUCAAUUGACAAUUGAUUUCAUUUGCCGUGAGUCUUCCUUACGAAUGUCUUCUGCGCGAGUGAGGCAAUCGUCUCCUCUAUCUCUUCGUUGAAAAGAUAAUAUCCACAACCUUGCAGAAAUUUAUACGAAGACUAUAUUUCAAAAGGAGAAUACAUUGGACUAUGAUGCUUACGGAUUACUACAUUUUCAAUGGUUCAUGAAAAUGACAGAUUUAUGGCGUUAUUAACAGUCUCACAAGUGGCAGGAAUAUGCUGGAUCCAAUGAAUUCGACUAUAAGGAACGACAUUACCAAUAGUUAUUGUAGACCACUUGGUUAGCACAGUAACACGGACUGCUAGCUUAUUUGUGGAGUAAUGCAAGUCUCCCAAAAACGAAAGAACAGCCAUCGAAGACAACACUACAAAGAUAUAACCAAAAGUGUUUAUUAUUUCUUGUAUAACAUUUUAGGUUGCAUCUCUUUCUUAUAUAUACAGAUCAUAAUCAAUGUAGUUAACCUAGUUUCUCUCCCACGGUUUACAUAUCUUGUUUAUAGAAUAAAUCAAAAUAUAUAUUGUUACUUAAUCAGUAUAUUUCAAUGAAUAUGUUUGCUCUUA